UUCCAGUAAAGAAACAUUCACUCAUCUUACCCUGGUCCCAGAGCCUGUAAAGGUGAAUUUACCGGGGCUGGCUCGGGAAGAGGAGGAAAGUUUGUUGGAGAAGAAACCAUCUGAGAGGG